UAUGUGAUCGUCUCUCGCAUAUCAAUAAGCGGAGGAAAAGAAACUAACAAGGAUUCCCCUAGUAACGGCGAGUGAAGCGGGAAGAGCUCAAAUUUGAAAUCUUAAAGGGUUUCCCUUUACGAAUUGUAGUUUAAAGAAGUGUUUUCUGUUGAGGUUUUGGUAAAAGUUCUUUGGAAUAGGACAUCAUAGAGGGUGAGAAUCCCGUAUUUGACCAUUAUCUUCAGCUGUGUGAUACACUUUCAAAGAGUCGGAUUGUUUGGGAAUGCAGUCCAAAAUGGGUGGUAAAUUUCAUCUAAAGCUAAAUAUUGGCGAGAGACCGAUAGCGAACAAGUACCGUGAGGGAAAGAUGAAAAGAACUUUGAAAAGAGAGUUAAACAGUACGUGAAAUUGUCAAAAGGGGAGCGUUUGACACCAGUGUUGUUUUUCUGAAAAUCAAUUAAAGAACUGUUUAUGCUAAGUUGUUUAGACUUUAUCAGCUAACUGUUUAGUUUUGAGCUUUUCUUUAAUGCACUUUUCAGUUAACAAGUCAACAUCAAUUUCUUUUGCUGUAAAAAAGCUUGAGGAAGGUGGCUUGAGAUUCGUCUUAAGUGUUUAUAGCCUCUUGCCUAUGCAGUCGGAGAGAUUGAGGUCUGCAGCGUAGAUCCUUCGGGGCUGAAUGCAUUUGUGCUAAGUUAUAGCAUUUUAUAGACGACUUGUUGACUAUGAUUUGUCAUGUAGCUUACUCGCCUAUGCUAUUUUACCUACGCUUAGGAUGUUGAAGAUGUAGCACAUCAU
rnacentral:rRNA from 1 species